rnacentral:rRNA from 1 species
CAGUAGCCGCGGUAAGACGGAGGAUGCAAGCGUUGUCCGGAAUUAUUUGGCGUAAAGGGCUCGCAGGCGGUUUCUUAAGUCUGAUGUGAAAGCCCCCGGCUCAACCGGAGAGGGUUAUUGGAAACUGGGAAACUUGAGUGCAGAAGAGGAGAGUGGAAUUCCACGUGUAGCGGUGAAAUGCGUAGAGAUGUGGAGGAACACCAGUGGCGAAGGCGACUCUCUGGUCUGUAACUGACGCUGAGGAGCGAAAGCGUGGGGAGCGAACAGGAUUAGAGACCCGCGUAGUCCCUGUCUCUUAUAC